rnacentral:lncRNA from 1 species
CCUUACCAAAAAAAAUCCUUCUCUUCAAGUCUCAACUCAGUUGCUACCUCCUCCCACAAACAUUCCUGAUGUCCCCACCUGCUUAAAGUUCUCUCUAUCCUCAGCACUUUGUUAGGAUCUCUUCUUUGUUGCCAUCACCAUCUACCUUGUAAUAUACCUCUCCAUGUACAUGGCACCCCAUCCACACCCCCCUGGUAAAAUACAAGCUGAAUGAGGGGAGGGACUAUUUGGUUUUAGGAUUUCAUUUCAUUUCCUGUUCUUUUUUUUCUUUUCUUUUUUUCUUUUUAUCUUUGUAUCCAUGUUGGUACCUUAUUAGAGAUCAUUGAUUCAGAGCUGGACGACAUCAUCCAUAUCCAUUUUACAAAGGAGGGUCAUAGCAAGUGCUAAAAAGAAAAUGUUUGGGGGAUUGAAUAGAAUUGGCACCCCCCUUGGAGGCCUGGACCAUGGAUUCCAAGGUUUCCUGGCUUCAAGCUGCAUAUCUAUGCUCUUUCCUUCCUGGCCCUGGUAGUCCAGCUUGCCUCCACCUAGGGAUGUCCAUGGCCCAGCUUGAUGAAGGAAGAUAGGAGCAGGCAAGGCUUCUCCACAGCAAUCAGCAGCUCAGUGCCAUUCUUGAGGGGAGGGAGGAACAAGGUAGGGGGUCAUCAAAUGGGAAUGGGGCUAACUCCCAGCUAGAUGUCAAUCCCUCAGCUCCACCAGCCCUUGAAAAAGACUCAGAGAGAGUCGUUUGUCUCCGAGGGCCCCCAAACAAUCCCCCAGCUCCUUCUCUGGAGCAAUGAUGGGCAAAAAUCAUGGGGGGACUUGUGGAAAUGCUGCCAAACGUCCUGCAAAUUGAGCCCUUUCAUGUUCCUGACGUCCCCCAGCUCGGAGGGAAGAUCAGAUAUGAAUGCGUUUGAUGAGGACAGCUUCCCUGAUUCUUGCUGAGGCAAAUGCCCUGAUGCCAGCAGGAUAGAGCCCCAGGAAGUCCCUACAGCCUCAUCCCAAGUUCAAAUCCCCAGGUGGGUUUUGAACUGAUUACAUCAGAGAUCGCUGGGUCAGCGCAUUCAUCAGGAACUUUUCAAUCCUCUGAGGUACCUCAUUGGGAAGAGUGCAAGGUUCUGGCUAGUUUUAAGUGUAAUUAAAAGAUUUUUUCUCCUCUCCCUCCUCCUCCCAUCUUUGAAAUACAGUUCCUGUGUUUUGUUUCCCAAAAGAAAAUGC